rnacentral:rRNA from 1 species
UACGUAGGUGGCAAGCGUUAUCCGGAAUUAUUGGGCGUAAAGAGCGCGCAGGUGGUUGAUUAAGUCUGAUGUGAAAGCCCACGGCUUAACCGUGGAGGGUCAUUGGAAACUGGUCGACUUGAGUGCAGAAGAGGGAAGUGGAAUUCCAUGUGUAGCGGUGAAAUGCGUAGAUAUUAGGAGGAACACCAGUUGCGAAGGCGACUCUCUGGACUGUAACUGACGCUGAGGCACGAAAGCGUGGGGAGCAAACAGGAUUAGAUA